UCCCCGGAUGGCCGGGAAUAGCAAGACCCCUGGGGUGGGUCGGACGCCAUACGUUCCGAACGUGCUCCAGGGGU
rnacentral:tRNA from 1 species